AACAGAAAAGGCUGAGUAAAGGGUCUCAGAAACAGCUGUUUUGUGCAUGAUGGAUUAGACGAGAAGGAUCUGGAGAUUACACAAAGAGGCAUAGGAAUUACAUAUUAUCUGUAUCCAGGAAAUAGUUAAAAAGGUAAUGUUUCUGCAUAUUUAAAAAUAUCAGAAGAAAAAAUAUGAGGAAUUUCUGAGAUCGGAUUAUAUAAGUCCUAAUCACAAAUGCUUCUUUAUCAUCUGUCACCUGCACAACAAAAACUAGUCGCUUUUCCAACAGACUAGAUCUAUCUACUGAAUUAUGGCAAGAACGUCCCCAGGGAAAUCAGAGGAAGCCCUAUCUGAUGGAGCCAGUUUCAAGUACUGCUUAUUUAAAGAAACAGUGUCAAGUUUACCAUGGGGAGAAUACUCUUAUAUGGCCUGGGUGUUCAAUUCAAGGAGUUACUAUUUUAUACUUGUAGCAGUGACAUGCUUUUGCCUACAAGUACUGAUGAAAACCUUCUCACUGAGCAAGAAUUUCAGUUUGGGGGAAUAGAAAUUGCAGUAUGGGGACGGAAUGUCUCUAUCUUCCAAGCAGAGAGCUUCAGCAAAAGUCAAGUCAUAUAAUUAUCAUCCAGCAACAGGAAAAUGGAAGCAAUUCCCCAGAGCAACUUCUGCCAACCAAAUACCAUCAACAGGAGGAAGAGAAACAAGUGUGGUCCUGGGAGCUCCCAGGCACGUUACGACCAUGGUUGCAUUUAACCUUUACAACUCCAUGAGACCCUGGGGAGAGACAAACAAAAAAACCUGUGGUUCCAGCCACAUUGCAGCUCAGGAGCCUGUUUGGAGAGACCAGAUUGACUGUGUUAUGCAGGAGAAGCACAAAUGUAUGGGUGAGGCUGUCCUAACCUUUUUCGAAGGAUGCUGGAGAAGAGGUUCAGUAGGUGGCAUGGAAUUUGCAAGGUUCAGGGAUGACGGAUGGAGUAGGAGGGAAUGGUGUCCUGGGCAGAAGGAACAGUAUGUGCAAAGGCCCUACUGUAAGGAGUCAUUUAGUAGCUUAUAUUUUUCUGGGACUUAGGAGAGACUCAUGAAACUGAAGUCCUUAUAGCAAAGCAGAGGGCAGCAAAAGAGGGUGUUGGAGAAUAUUCAGAGGUUGGAGUGCUCAGAGCCUUAUGGGGGAAGAGGAUUUUAUUUUGAGCACCAGGAUUACACAAUUGUAGAGUAAACACCACCUAUUGUUCUGGGGAAAAGGAAAGUCACAAUGACCCUGAGAGCAUGAAAAGAAAAUACAGUUCCUGAAGUUGCAACAAAGUUUGCAGAGAUACAGUUCUUCCUAAAACAUAAAGAAUUUGCAGACUGGCAUGCCAGCUCUUCAACAUGUUCCUUGGAAUUCAGAGAUAAAAUGCUGUGGAAUGAGAAAUAACGUUUGUCUUGAUGGAGGUUCAUAGGAACGUGGUGACCUGACCUAUGUGAACAGUUGCAUGAACAAAGAUUCCUAUAAGAACUUUGCAACAACCAGCCACACACCCUUACCUUUCCAUAUAAAAGAAGCCUGAAUUCCAACUUGGGUAAGAUGGUUCUUUGGGACACUAGUCCACUGUCUUUACGGUCUGCUGACUUUCUGAAUAAAAAUUGCUAUUCCUUGCUCCAGUUACUCGUCUUUCAAUUUAUUGCCCUAUUGUGCAGCAAGCAGUAUGAGCUUUGACGUGGUGACAGCUUCACUGUGGUUGUACCGGACCUGCUGCAUUCUGGUAUCCUGAAUGUGUUUGGAGGGAUGAUGCCUGCUUUUAGCUCACAGAUCACCAGACCAUGAGGGGCCACAUCUGGACCUGAUGGAGAGGUCAUUGGACUGGGGAUCACAGACUUUGAGCUGAGGAUGCUGUAGCUCAGUGAGGAGUGUGUCUCUGGAGGGAAGAAGGGUUCAUCACACUCGUGCUGGUCAGAGUGCAUGGGAACAGAGGCGGCUUACUGUUCCCCAAGACCAGUGUUUUCCUUCAUGUUCUCCAGCCUCUUCUUCAGUGAAACGGCCCUGUGAGAGUUUUAGCCCAUGAAAUGUGAGUGGGACCCCUGUGUACUAUCUGAGUCACUGAUUUUAAGAUGUGAAAAUAUCUUUUACGCUCUCAUUUCUCCUUCCACAAGCAACAUACUGAAACUUGGUCCCAAGGGAUUCUGAAAUGAAAGGAGCCUGGAUCCUUGAAGCAGUAUCUGGGUGGGGGCAGAGGGGAGGAAAAUUGUCUUCAAACCAAAAUAGUAGUAUUGGAAUAUAAUUUGCAAGAGAAAUAAAGAUCUAUUUUGUUAAAUGGCUGAAAUUUAUUCACUGGAUUUGUUAUAGAAGGUAAUGUUUCUUUGAUUAGUAUUUGCAUCAAAUUUUAAGGCCCUCUUCAGACACUGUGAUAUACAA